CGACGCCGCGUGAGGGAUGACGGCCUUCGGGUUGUAAACCUCUUUCAGCAGGGACGAAGCGCAAGUGACGGUACCUGCAGAAGAAGCACCGGCUAACUACGUGCCAGCAGCCGCGGUAAUACGUAGGGUGCAAGCGUUGUCCGGAAUUACUGGGCGUAAAGAGUUCGUAGGCGGUUUGUCGCGUCGUUUGUGAAAACCAGCAGCUCAACUGCUGGCUUGCAGGCGAUACGGGCAGACUUGAGUACUGCAGGGGAGACUGGAAUUCCUGGUGUAGCGGUGAAAUGCGCAGAUAUCAGGAGGAACACCGGUGGCGAAGGCGGGUCUCUGGGCAGUAACUGACGCUGAGGAACGAAAGCGUGGGUAGCGAACAGGAUUAGAUACCCUG
rnacentral:rRNA from 1 species